UUAAGAGUGGUUUUAUUAGUCUUGUAAACUAAAGAUUAGUUCUCUUAGA
rnacentral:tRNA from 1 species